rnacentral:misc_RNA from 1 species
AAGUCGUAACAAGGUUUCCGUAGGUGAACCUGCGGAAGGAUCAUUAACACUCCAAAACCCUCAUAGCUCUGGGAAACCAGGGUUUAUGAAACCCUAUUCACUUUAACGAACCCGCGAAGUGGAGAAGUCACUCUCUCCAUUUUUGCACUUUCUUUUGUCCCUUUUUUUUUUUAACCCCAAUCACAUAUAAACUUUUGACUGACUGGAAGAUCUCGGUCUUCCGUUGCUCUGUACUCUAACCGGUAUAGGCAAUGAAAACUACUAUAAAAAAAAACAAAAAAACAACUCUUAGCAACGGAUAUCUUGGUUCUC